GCGCACGUGGUGAAAUUGGUAGACACGCCACCUUGAGGGGGUGGUGGGCGCAAGCCCGUGGAAGUUCGAAUCUUCUCGUGCGCACAA
rnacentral:tRNA from 1 species